rnacentral:tRNA from 1 species
AGCCCCGAGGUGUUAUCAUAACAGAUUGCAAAUCUGGAGAGGCCGGCUAAAAGCCGACCGGGGCUU